CCUACGGGAGGCAGCAGUGGGGAAUAUUGCACAAUGGGCGAAAACCUGAUGCAGCAACGCCGCGUGAAGGAAGACGGUUUUCGGAUUGUAAACUUCUGUUCUUAGUGAAGAAUCAUGACGGUAACUAAGGAGCAAGCCACGGCUAACUACGUGCCAGCAGCCGCGGUAAUACGUAGGUGGCAAGCGUUGUACGGAAUUACGGGGUGUAAAGGGAGCGUAGGCGGGAAGCCAAGUCAGAUGUUAAAACUCCGGGCUUAACCUGUAGAAUGCAGUUGAAACUGGCUUUCUUGAGUGAAGUAGAGGUUGGCGGAAUGCCGAGUGUAGCGGUGAAAUGCGUAGAUAUUCGGAGGAACACCGGUGGCGAAGGCGGCCAACUGGGCUUUAACUGACGCUGAGGCUCGAAAGUGUGGGGAGCAAACAGGAUUAGAUACCCCAGUAGUC
rnacentral:rRNA from 1 species